rnacentral:lncRNA from 1 species
GCUUGCAAUCAAGACGGGGGAUGCCAAAGGGCUAGUUCUGGCUGCUGGCUCACUCUGAGGGGUGGGGGUCCAAUGGCUGGCUCCUCCACUGAUAAUGAAACGAGGGUUAAGCAACUCUCUGUCCUGCAGAGAAUGGCAGGAAACAUCUUCAUCACCCAUGACUCCUUGAGAGAGUAGUGGGGUUUGGGGAGGUUGCAUUUCCUUUCAAGAUUCCAGAAAGGGUGCUCACACCCCCAGGGGCAUGAAUGCUGGCACGCUGACCCAACACAAGCAAGGCUGCCAGAUGACCAUGGGGUCCGGCCCGCCCUUCUGUCCCUAUCUGCUUCAUAAGCACAAAGCCCUUCAGAAAGUAACAACAGGAACCUUGGAAUGAUAACUCACUUGGAGAAAGGUCUUACAAGAGUUCAUCGAGCUGCUUCAUCAAUGCUCUUUUCUUCCUUUCCAUUCUGUAGGGAGAAUGUUUAUCUCUCAGUUUCAUGUUAUGGGCCUAAUCUCUUUAUAUAUGGAAAGGGAAUAAAGUUUGAGUAUCUCCUA